AUGGCCGGAGAGGCGGUCGCCACAUUGGAGGCCAUUGCCCCAGUUGGAGGAGCUUGGACCCGCUUCGCCGACGAGGUAGCCUGCCAUGCCAGAGGCCAUUGCGAGCGCAUAAACAGUCUGCGAGAUCAUCGCGAACCCGAAGAAUCCGGUGAUCUCGAAGAGGUAGUGCGGGCAGGUGAUGAACUCGAAGAGCCCGCCUUUGGGGAUCUUGUACCCUGUAUCGUUGUCACCUCCCUUCCUAAGUUGCGAGAUGAGGUAGUGGUGGUAGAAGUUGCCGGCGAUGCCAACGGCCAAGAGGAGGACGCCUGGGUAGAGGAGGUCCGUUGUAUGGUCAGGGAGUUCGACGGCGAGGUGUCGCGCGUAGAUCAUGGUGAUGGCGCUGAGCAGGUAGCUGGAGGAGAUGGUGAGCGCCGUGUUGAGUAG
rnacentral:rRNA from 1 species